CUCCCUCGCGGUUCCCAUAAUUCCCAGCAUCUACACAUCAUAGAGUAAGGAUUACUCUAUGAUGUGUAGAUGCUGGGAAUUAUGGGAACCGCGAGGGAG